rnacentral:rRNA from 1 species
AUUGAACGCUGGCGGCAGGCCUAACACAUGCAAGUCGAGCGAGCGGCGGACGGGUGAGUAAUGUCUGGGAAACUGCCUGAUGGAGGGGGAUAACUACUGGAAACGGUAGCUAAUACCGCAUACCAUCAGAUGUGCCCAGAUGGGAUUAGCUAGUAGGUGGGGUAAUUGCUAACAUAGGCGACGAUCCCUAGCUGGUCUGAGAGGAUGACCAGCCACACUGGAACGGAGACACGGUCCAGACUCCUACGGGAGGCAGCAGUGGGGAAUAUUGCACAAUGGGCGCAAGCCUGAUGGAGCCAUGCGGCGUGUGUGAAGAAGGCCUUCGGGUUGUAAAGCACUUUCAGCGGGGAGGCGUUACCCGAAGAAGAAGCACCGGCUAACUCCGUGCCAGCCGCCGCGGUAAUUC